rnacentral:rRNA from 1 species
GUGGGGAAUAUUCCGCAAUGGACGAAAGUCUGACGGAGCAACGCCGCGUGAGUGAUGAAGGUUUUCGGACUGUAAAGCUCUGUUGUUUAGGACGAAAGUGCCUGUUGCAAACAGUUACAGGUAUUGACGGUACUAAACGAGGAAGCCACGGCUAACUACGUGCCAGCAGCCGCGGUAAUACGUAGGUGGCAAGCGUUGUCCGGAAUUAUUGGGCGUAAAGAGCAUGUAGGCGGGAAUCUAAGUCUGUUGUGAAAAUGCGGGGCUCAACCCCGUAUUGCGAUGGAAACUGGGUUUCUUGAGUGCAGGAGAGGAAAGGGGAAUUCCCAGUGUAGCGGUGAAAUGCGUAGAUAUUGGGAGGAACACCAGUGGCGAAGGCGCCUUUCUGGACUGUGUCUGACGCUGAGAUGCGAAAGCCAGGGUAGCGAACGGGAUUAGAAACCCCUGUAGUCC